rnacentral:misc_RNA from 1 species
GAUGCCCAUGAAGCUUCAAAACCAGAAUUCAAUUUCUCCCAGCAUUUUGCAUUAAUUGUAUAUACAUUGAUACUAACAAGAAAAAGGAAAACUGCCAAGAAGAAUAAGGAGAAUAAGAAAAAGGAAAACAACAUUACAAAUUGAAUUCUUGCUGAUUUAUGGAACCAUUAUUGGAGGGUGUUCCCUAUAUAGCAGAAAUAUGUUUAUUGGCCUGAGAAAUAUAUAUAUUUAAAACAUGAACUUAAUGUGAGAUAAACAAGACAAAAGAAACAAAUAGAAGUUAAUGAUUAUAAGAAUGGAUCCAAUUGAAGCAUUCAUUGAUCGUGUUAAUGCUUCUAGUAAGUACUCAGGUACUGUGCGCUCAUAAACACAAAAAAUGAGGGUAACCUACUGAUUGCAUGCAGACAUCUUAAAAAUCAAAAUGCUCGCGCACACACAUAUAUACACGCGCGCUUUUAAACCAAGAAACCAGAAGCAUUAAAUUUCAUUAGCAUUUCACAGUAUUUGCUUGAGUUUGAGUCCCCUUAUACACCAAAUAUUGGUGGAAUUAUUGGGAAGACUGGUGUUAGGCAAAAGGGAUGGGCUAACCUCAAAUGGGCCUCCUAGCAGACCAAAGAAUUUAAAGGGAGAGAGCAUAAUCUUAAAAUCAUAGAUCGCUGCAUGGGAGAUGAACACAUAUAUAUGAAAAAUGGAUUAAUUACAGAAGAUUUCGUAUUUUCACACACACACAUAUAUGGAAAAAAAAAAUGAUAAACGUUGCCAUUGAGUAAUCAAAGAUGUAGUAGUUCAAAACACCUGCUAAUUUGCCAUUACACACCUUCACUAAAACUAAUUCAGUGUAUAGUUUCUUUUCAUUGUGUUAUCUACACUACGAUUCUUAUCAACCGCAUAAAGUUGAUGAAUGUACAAAGAAAUUACCAUGAAAAUGACUUGGGAAGAAAAUCAUGCAUCAUGGUCAUCAUCAAAGGGCAUUGAGAUGAAUUGACGAAGCUUCUGAAGAUUAUCACAUAUCUCUGUCAGUAGUUUUUCUCUUUCACUAUCAUUCUGAGCUGUAUUACCAGCAUGCUUUGAGAAUUCAUCAUCUGCUUCAAGAGCCUUCACCCGUUCAUGAAGAUGCAACAAUUCUUUCAUUAAUUUGCGUUCUUGUGCUGUCUCUUCAUUGCGGGUAAUAUUGUCAGAGGUGGCCCGUGAGGAAGAAGGUCCAUCAUCUGACAAAAGGUGAGUUCUCUUUUCCAGGUUUUUCAACCGACCAAGAUGACGGGAUCUGCCCCCUUUGUAUAAUUUUUCUGUGGUCCCCCCUCCAUUCUCAUCACAAAAAGAUGAAGGCUGAUUGUUACCAUUCAGAUUUUCUUCUUUAAUACACCCAUUUUCUCCUUUAAUACACCCAUCACUGGAACUAUAGGCUGGGCUGAUAUAUUCAGAUGAGAUAGAUUGUGAGUUCAUGUCCUGGUAAGCCUGAUGAACCUCAACUCCAGAUCCCUCAAAACCUUCUUCCGUUAAGAGACCAUAGUUUUCUCUAUACUCGUCAAGUUCAGCCUCUAAAACUUUAAUAUCUUCCUCUCUCUUGCCAAGUAAAUCCAUUGUUGCUUGCAGGGCUUCUUGAUCAUAUUCUGCCUGUUCCUCCAUCAUUCUUUGAUACUGUAAGGCCUCCAUCUGAACAGCUGCCUUCUCUGCCUGUAACCGAGUGAUCAUGGCCAUUGCAUUAUUAGCUGCAACGGCAGAAGCACUUCUUUCUUCAUCCAGUUCCAUGUACAAAGCCAUCAGUGACUUACGAUCCAGUCGAGCCUGUCCCUUCAUAUGGUGCAAAAUCAAGUCACCAUCUGCUUCACCUGGUGCAGUACUCCCUUCCAUGGACUCCGAAGCAAAUUCUGUUUUUUCAAGUAGUGAUUUCCUUGGGAUUCUAGUAGUCCACCUAGGGCUGGCAUUAGCUGAAUCAAUUAGUGGAAUUCCAAAAAACCUGUUUCCUCUGGCAAAAAUAGGAGUUCUAUCCUCGUUCAUAUCCUCAGCCUCCGUCAGCGAUGGCACUGUAGUAGCUUUGACGUCUUCCCUAGCUAAUGCACAAAAUCGUUCCACCAAAAGCAUUAGAUGGUCAUGUUGGAGUUGAUAUAUAUUUUGCUGUCAAUUUUUGAUAUACUGUGUUUAAUUGAAAAGGAAUGGCUCUCCAUGUUUGAAGCAAGAUUUGUAGAAAUUUUUCUUGUGUUUAAAGUAAUAUAUUUAUACUUGAAAAAGUCACCAUUUGCAUAUAAAAAAAGAGCUGUGGGAGAGAGUGAGUGAGCUAAGGUGAGGUGAGCUAGAAAGUGAACUGAAAAUGAAGAAGAAAAGCAAA